rnacentral:misc_RNA from 1 species
GAUGAAGAACGCAGCGAAAUGCGAUAAGUAGUGUGAAUUGCAGAAUUCAGUGAAUCAUCGAAUCUUUGAACGCACAUUGCGCCCCUUGGUAUCCCGAGGGGCAUGCCUGUUCGAGCGUCAUUUCACCACUCAAGCCUGGCUUGGUGUUGGGCGACGUCCCCUUUGGGGACGCGCCUCGAAACGCUCGGCGGCGUGGCACCGGCUUUAAGCGUAGCAGAAUCUUUCGCUUUGGAAGUCGGGGCCCCGUCUGCCGGAAGACCUACUCGCAAGGUUGACCUCGGAUCAGGCAGGGAUACCCGCUGAACUUAAGCAUAUCAAUAAGCGGAGGA